CCAUCCUAUUUAGAACACAAGGUGGAAAUUUUGGAGAAUCCUGCAAAACUGGGCCUGUCUCGUUUUAUUUUCUGCCAGAUAUCUCACGAGGCCUUCCAACGAUCGAUUCACCACAUGCUACGUUGAUUCUUAUUUCUUGCUUGCUCCAGUCUCCACACUCCAGAGACUUGGAUUCUGCCUUCUGGGCAUCUCCCGGAUUCUGCCUUCUGGGCAUCUCCCGGAUUCUUUUUUGGAGCUCUUACUGCUUUAUUUCGUCACUAUUCUAUUUUUUUUCCUUAGCUUGCCUGAAUAUGGUUCUACCAAGUUAAACCCAUAUUUUUAUCACGUAUUUGAGAAUCUUAAUGUGGGGAUUUUCUUUUUAUUGCAUUCUCUUUCUAGCCACAAUUGCAUUAAUCUAGCUGCUUUUUGUUAUUGGCAGAUUGUAUUUUUGCUUCUUUAAUAUAUAUAUGUGUAUGUGUGUGUUCUUGUUUGUAAAUAAAGAAGAAUUAAGGCAUAUAAACAUGGGUUUGCUGCUACUCUGAUUGGAUUACCUUUUGUUGGUUACUGAAGUAUUGCUGAUGUGUGCCAUUUUCCUAGUAAGUAUGAUAAUUUGGGUUGAUUGAGUAGAUGAUUCUUCUCUUUUUCUUACAUAUUGUAUUAUUGUGUGUAUUUACUUCUUGUUGCUAGCUAUUAUAUGCGUUGUCAAUUCAUCCAUGUCCAAAGCAAAAGGGUAAGGGCUGAAGGUAGAUUCUUGUGGAGUCCAGCUGUGAUUGGACUGAAUUGGAUAAUCACUUUGCGUUAUUUACAAGUUGAUAAGGAGACACAUUACCUUGAAGUUUGUCAAAUGAGCUUGCAGAAAUUGAUAUUCUAAGGGAUUCUACAUCAGCUUGAAAAGUGUAGAGGUGUAUGUAGACCUUCAUUGAAAAACAUCACUCCCUUUUUCUUUCACAGACACAGACAUUCCAAAUGCUUAUUAUGGUUGGUGUAAUCAGAAUCUUCAACCAGAAUACUGAGUGGAGAAAAAGGAUUGUGCAUAUGCAGAUGAUGAUUCGGAAAGUAUCAUCUUUGGCCAAAAAAGAGUAAAUUUUUGGUGGUAGGGCAUUGGUUUAGCUAAAAGCUUGAAAGCUCCAUGAACCUCUGAUAAUUUCAGCAAACAAGAAGCGAUUGGACUUAGAAUGAUGGGACAACGCCAUAUCCAGCUUCUGCCAUUAGUGUUGUGGAGAACAACUGACCGACUUCAACUUCUACAUCUGUUCUCUUUGCAAAUCGGCCUCUAAUCCGUGGUCUAGUCUCUGCAUAUGCCUUCCUU